rnacentral:rRNA from 1 species
CCUACGGUGGUCCGCAGUGAGGAAUAUUGGUCAAUGGCCGAGAGGCUGAACCAGCCAAGUCGCGUGAGGGAAGACGGCCCUACGGGUUGUAAACCUCUUUUGUCGGGGAGCAAAGCGAGUCACGUGUGACUCAUUGAGAGUACCCGCAGAAAAAGCAUCGGCUAACUCCGUGCCAGCAGCCGCGGUAAUACUGAGGAUGCGAGCGUUAUCCGGAUUUAUUGGGGUUAAAGGGUGCGCAGGCGGAGGUGCAAGUCAGCGGUCAAAUUGCGGGGCUCAACCCCGAACUGCAGUUGAAACUGCAUCCCUUGAGUGCGCGAGAAGGAUGCGGAAUGAGUGGUGUAGCGGUGAAAUGCAUAGAGAGCAUACAGAACACCGAUUGCGAAGGCAGCUUACCAAGCUACUUCUGACGUUGAGGCACGAAAGCGUGGGGAGCAAACAGGAUUAGAUACCCGAGUAGUC